UACGGAGGGUGCGAGCGUUGUCCGGAAUCACUGGGCGUAAAGGGCGCGUAGGCGGCUGUGGAAGUCGGCGGUGAAAGCCCGGAGCUCAACUCCGGGUCGGCCGUCGAGACUCCUCGGCUCGAGCUCACUAGAGGCAGAUGGAAUUCCGGGUGUAGCGGUGGAAUGCGUAGAGAUCCGGAAGAACACCGGUGGCGAAGGCGGUCUGCUGGGGUGAGGCUGACGCUGAUGCGCGACAGCGUGGGGAGCAAACAGG
rnacentral:rRNA from 1 species